rnacentral:rRNA from 1 species
UCGGACGGUGAACGCUUUCGGGUGGGGAUCAGUGGCGAACGGGUGAGUAACACGUGAGUAACCUGCCCUUCACUCUGGGAUAACUCCGGGAAACCGGGGCUAAUACUGGAUAUGACCUACUCGGGCAUCCGAUGUGGGUGGAAAGAUUUAUUGGUGGGGGAUGGACUCGCGGCCUAUCAGCUUGUUGGUGAGGUAAUGGCUUACCAAGGCGACGACGGGUAGCCGGCCUGAGAGGGCGAUCGGCCACACUGGGACUGAGACACGGCCCAGACUCCUACGGGAGGCAGCAGUGGGGAAUAUUGCACAAUGGGCGAAAGCCUGAUGCAGCGACGCCGCGUGAGGGAUGAAGGCCUUCGGGUUGUAAACCUCUUUCAGCAGGGAAGAAGCAGCCGGGUUUUCUUGGUUGUGACGGUACCUGCAGAAGAAGCACCGGCUAACUACGUGCCAGCAGCCGCGGUAAUACGUAGGGUGCGAGCGUUGUCCGGAAUUAUUGGGCGUAAAGAGCUUGUAGGCGGUUUGUCGCGUCUGCUGUGAAAUUUCGGGGCUCAACCCCGAACUUGCAGUGGGUACGGGCAGACUAGAGUGUGGUAGGGGAGACUGGAAUUCCUGGUGUAGCGGUGAAAUGCGCAGAUAUCAGGAGGAACACCGAUGGCGAAGGCAGGUCUCUGGGCCACUACUGACGCUGAGAAGCGAAAGCAUGGGGAGCGAACAGGAUUAGAUACCCUGGUAGUCCAUGCCGUANACGUUGGGAACUAGGUGUGGGUCNCAUUCCACGAGAUCCGUGCCGCAGCUAACGCAUUAAGUUCCCCGC